UAUCCAAAAGGAAACAAAAAAAGCCCAGAAACAUAAAGUGAACAUUGUCCUUUAUUGAAUCGACACACACGACAAAGGAUUUUCCUCAAGAAGGAUUUAAGAUUUUUUUUGUUGCCUUGCUCCUUCGAGUGCUUCCUUUUGGGUAAACUAGAAAGCAUAUACUUAUAGCGCUUUAAUAAACCAACCUUUUCUAUGACAUGAGCAUGAUUAUAUUGAUUGAGAGUUGGAGAUUUUUACAUUUUUUUUUUAUUUUCUCUUGCAGGCCAGGGACAUUUGAGUGGAUGACAAGAAAAGGACGUAACCAACAAACGCAACAGUGCAAAACCAAAGCCCACUGGCCUUCUGUCCUGCCUGCUGUUGUGAUGGUGGGGUUAAUUUAAAACGAAAUAUUAAAUUGAACGGGGUUUAUCAGAUUAAAUUCGAAGAACCUAUUUUCUAAAUAAUGGGGCGAUUCUAAAUCAUAUAAAUAUGAGUCAGAAUAAGAUGAAGGAGAAAGAAGGACACAGCCUUAAACUUACAACAUGCAUACAGUACCUAAGUGGAUGGACAUUGAACACUGAGACUGAGGGUCUUCUUUCAUAAUGUAUGUUACAUGCAUACAUUAUGUUGGUAUAUGCGGAAGGAUAAGUUUUAUUAUCCUCUUGGAUAAAUUCGAUUAUGAAUAAUAAUAAAUGGAAUUUUAUUUUAUCAACUGAAAUCAUGGCUAUAAGGAAGAAGUUUUAAAGGGGGACUCAUUUUUUUCUUUUUGUUAUAGAACAUUUAACCGUAAUUCAUUUUUAAGGUCCAUUAGAUCAUAUUUUCCCUAUCCCCUAUGCAAGCAUUUUAUUAUAUAUUUCUUCGUUUAAGAACUGAUUUUUGUAAAGUACAUAGGGCAAGUUAAUAUGGAUUUUGGAUAAUUGGACGCUGAACCCAGCUGUGAAGCAGAACUAAUCAGAAAUUUGGAGUGGAAGUACUGUUUACUUAAAGGUAGAUAAGCCUUACAUGUAAGUAUUUCUAAAGUGUUAAUAGGAAUAUAUACAUACAAAAAAAAAACAAAUAUUUAU